ACGAAGGGGGCUAGCGUUGCUCGGAAUUACUGGGCGUAAAGGGCGCGUAGGCGGGUCGUUUAGCUAGAGGUGAAAGCCCAGGGCUCAACCCUGGAAUUGCCUUUAAUACUGGCGGCCUUGAGUAUGGCAGAGGUGUGUGGAACUCCGAGUGUAGAGGUGAAAUUCGUAGAUAUUCGGAAGAACACCAGUGGCGAAGGCGACACACUGGGCCAUUACUGACGCUGAGGCGCGAAAGCUAGGGGAGCAAACAGGA
rnacentral:rRNA from 1 species